AAACUGUCUUCCUGGAUACAGAAAAGUCAUGGGGUCUAGCAUCCAUUCCUGCUGCUAUGACUGUGUGAGAUGCUCAGAGGGAGAAAUCUCCAACAUAACUGACUUCUUCUCCGGCCUGUGAUCUGAGAAUUAGAAAAUGCAUUGAGGAUUACGAAUAUUUUCAAGAUGGAGAUGUUAUAAUCGGAGGGGUGCUUUCUGUCAAUCACGCUUUGAAUGAGUAUGUAGAAGAAUAUGGAAUUAAGCAUCUGAUGAUGUGUAUGCGAUAUUAUCGGGGCCGGGAAAGACCGUCCCUAAUUACUCCUGUACUGAACAAGGAAAAGUGGCUGGAUUUAUCGGGGAUCAUCAUUCCAGUCCAACAUUGGCCAUAGCCCAGAUACUGAAG